GCUUUAUACAACUACACGAAUAUUGCUAUCUAACUUGGUGAUUUCUUUCCCAUGCCUAUUUUAUUCUCGUGAAUUUGCAUCCAUUAUUCUAAAAAAAUUAUUACGUUUGCUGCAGAAUUGAGCUUAUUAAUGUGAUUUUGUUUCCCAUAGUUUGAUUUUGGUUUGGAUAAUGCAAUGACUAAAUGUGGGAUAAGGGUUAAAAAAGGCCUCAUGUUUGAGCAAAAAGUUCAUUCGGCCUUUGAUGUAAAAGUUGGAUCAAUUAAGCCUUUUUACAUCCUAAGGGGAGGUGUUCUUUACAGAAGGAAAGAAGCAGGGGGGUAUGACUAAAUCUCGAUUUUAGGAAUUGGAGGUGAGAGAGAGAGGACGAUGCAGAAAGGAAAGGGGGAUUAUUGGCCACAUAAACAGCCCAAUUCAUUGUCGUCUCUCAACAUAUGCUACACAUGCUUCUUUUUCAUGAAAUUGAGUUAAAAUUAGGAUGUAAAGGGACCUAACUUAAACAUUAAAGGCCAAAUUGACUUUUGGCUCAAACAUGAGGGACUUUUUACCCUUAUCCCACUAAUUAUUGUGUGGAUUGGUUUACUCUGAUGUGUGCCUAUUUAAUUGUCUGCUUGUAAGUUUAAAUCCUUUUGAGGUAGAGCUCAAGACUUAAUGUGAUUUCUGGCGUUCCUAUGCAUUAAUGGUGAUCUAACAUUUGUAGUUAUAUCUUUGUCUUGUUACCACUUAUCAUGGAUAAGAAAUGUUUUUGCUUUCAAUUAUUAAUAUUAAUGCGUUAUUAAAA
rnacentral:misc_RNA from 1 species